UCUUUAUGUUAGUUUUAUGUUACCUGCCUAGGGACUGCAGAUGAAAAGUAGUUAUUGUUACUAAUUCUGGCAUAUUUACAUGGUGUAUAUUUAUACAACAAUGUCCAUGAAUAUGCAUGGUCCCUAUUAAAUAAACCAAUAAAUAAAAAAUAAAAAAACAUAGCCUGCAAUAAUACA